UCUUUCUCAUUCUUUCAUUUGUACCCAUGUGAAUUUUAAAAAGUUAUUCAUCAGGCUUGUAUCUUACAGCAGCCUAGGGUUAGUUGCUAGAGCCGAAUAGACCUGGGUCGGUCUCCAUUCCAGUUCUGGCACCAGCUAGCUGUGUGUUCUUGAGCUGGCCAGUUAGCCUGUGCAGACCUUAGUUUCCUCAUCUUGUAACCCUUACUUGGGGAUUGAAAUACCUACUUGCGACUUCUCCAAUGGGUAGACAUACUGUGUAAGAAAGUCCCUGGCACAUCCAAAGUGUUAGUUAUUAUUAAUGUCAACGUUAUUAUCUUUGUCUUUGUCUUUAUAUCUGUUAAGAUGCCUAUUUCUCAAUCACAAUCAUAACUUACCUUCUUUGGUUAUUUUACCUUUCUUUUCUUUUUUUUUUUUUUUUUUUUUUUUUUUCCGCUUUAUCCUUUGUUCUCCCAUCUCUCCAGUUAAUUAUUGGAGACAUGUUGCUAAGCAUAGCAAUUGUGGCAGCUAACCACUGGGGCUGUGUUUCUAAUCACAUCUAGCCCAGAAAAGAACCCCUUCACACAUCCUUUUCCCUCUUUAUCCUACUUAGUCUAUUCGUUAUGAGCUUUUCCUUUUUAGAGUUCACCUGAGAACAUUAUUUUCUACUCUUUUGUGUCUUUUCCUAUCUUUUAGUUGUUCAAAAAAUGAAGGAGUUAUACCAGCUAUGAAGUCCUUUGACCCUGACAUUCAGUGAUUCUGUGAAAAGAACAAAUGCAGCUGUGACCACCCAGGUGUGUUGUGAGACCUGCUCAUCUUUAUUGAGCACCUGCUACCAGCAGUAUUUAGGUCUUGAUAAUGCAGAACAGUGGUUCUUAAAUUUUAUAAGCCCAAGAAUGACUCAGACUGCUUAUUAAGAUGCAGAUUCCCUGCACUGGAGUUCAACUGCAGCUCAAAUCUGAUCCCUGGCCCAGGAACUCCAUAUGCCAUGGGAUGGCUAAAAAGGGAAAAAAUAAAUUUAAAAUUUAAGUUUUUUUAAAAAGAAAGUAAAUGAUAGCUGAUUCUUGCUCUCAAGAGAUUAUAAUAUAAGAGGGGUAACAAGUAAUUAUAACAAGAGGCAAAAUGAAGUGCUAUAAUAAAGGUACGAACAAAGGUGUUUUGGAAACUCAGAGGAAGAUUGAGAAAAAUAGUUUUCUGGAAGAGUUGGCACUUGAGAUAGGAGUCAGAUUUCAAUACAAGGAACAAAGAGAGAAGAACAUUACAGCCAUAGGAACAGCAUGAACAAAGGUACAGUGUUAGAAGGCCUGAUGGUAUGUGGGAGGAAUAUGGGAGGAUGGUCAAUACUAUAUUCUGAUGAGUGUGCAGAUUAUGUCCAGAGUUUCAAAGGGAGAUGAGGUGAGCUAUGGAGGCCUGGGAGAAGUGCUAUUUUGAAGGGAGGGACUAGAGGAUUGCCAUAAUCAGGACAGUGUUGUAGAAGGAUCACCAGCAACAAAAGUAAAGAGUUGAGGGGUUAAGUGUAGUAGAUUAACUAUCUUAGUAGCAUCUGUACUGAGGUCUGGAUUUGGGGAGUUGUUGCACAAAUGAAAGGGGGAGGGCAGAGGAAGAAAUAGGCAGAGUGGCUGAUUGGAUCUGGGGGAUGAGCAGAAAAGUGGAGAAUGGCACCCAGUUGUUGAACCUGGGUGACAGGGAAGGCGGUGGACCUUACCAGAAGUUAGACAAAGAGCAAUCCAAAGGUGACAGUGUGCUGAGGAGUGGGGCCCAUGCCAAGUUUGAAGUGUAAUUGGACCUUCUAUAUGGAAGGGUUUGGUGGGCAUUGAAAGCUUGGAGAUGUUGCUUUGAGAAUCGUUAUAGAAAAAUUGUUGAUACCAUUCAAGUAGCUGAGACAGCCUAGGGAGAAAAUUUAAUUCCUCCUCACCUGCCACUUUUUUCUUCUCCCACUAUCUGUACUUCUGUACCUUUUCCCAGAGCCUGAGAGGUGAGUUUUGAUGGGCCCUAUCCUGUGCCCACACCCCCUCUAUAAUACUGCCUGUCUUAUUAACUGAUAAGUGUUACUAGUUCUCAGAGCAGCCCUCUAAGGGGGCAUUUCUUUCCAGUACUUGAACAAAACACAGUGACUGAACCAUUUUCCAAGGCACUGAUGAGUUAGCUAGGGGAAGGGAAAUCCUGCCCGUCUCCUGCAGUGAUCAGACUGGCCCCUGGGCCAUUGUGUCUGGGCUGAACCUACAGAUUACAUAAACUCGGGGUGGGGGGGGAGGUGUCUGCCACUCCUUAGCAUGGGGGGGGCCAUCAGUAAUUACAGGAUGGUCCCUCUAUAGCACAUUUCCUUCUUCAUUGGCAGUCUAAGGACGUCGUGGAAUAGGGUCAUAGUUAAUAGGUUGGCCUGAAAAAAUAGUAGUAAUUUCCAUUGUUCUCCCUAGUUCUCUCAUUAUUCUGAGAAGCUAAAAGCAGUGGCUCUGGCAGCAUUUAUAUUUCCCCAAAUUUUUGUAAUAAAUAUGUAUUAUUGUUAAAAUCAGGGAAAAAGUUUUCUGUUAAAAUUGUGCUGCUUAUGUCUGUCAGUAUUAGAUGUUAUCCUUCUCAGAGUAAUCCCUGCCCAUUGACUGACUCCCUGCUGCCCUGAAGGAGCCCUCUGGUGUUUAAAUGUUUCUUAUGUUAUGGACCCUUUGGAAAUCUAUUGUGAUUUUUGGUUCACUUCUUUUUCUUUAAAAUGGUGCUUUUCUGAGGCCUCAAAACUGACUGAUAUCAGUGAAUUCAAGUGAGAACAUCAUUUAAAUUCAUUUAAAUGUAAAGAACAGAAAAGGAAUAGGUUUUUUUGUUUUGUUUUUUUUUUUAGAGCAGGGGGCCUGUUUGGGGGGAAACCGGCCAAGUCCCUAAUGGUGAAGGAUAGUAAUUUGUUCUUGAGGAACUGCUUUGAGUGGCUGCAUUGAAAUAGGUUUUCGUUGUUUUGUUUUUUGGGGUUUUUUUGUCUUUUGUCUUUUUAAGGCUGCACCCUCAGCAUAUGGAGGUUCCCAGGCCAGGGGUCAAAUCGGAGCUGUAGCUGCUGGCCUACUCCACAGCCACAGCGAUGCAGAAUACAAGCCGUGUCUGUGACUUACACCACAGCUCAUGGCAAUGCCGGAUCCUUAACCUACUGAGCAAGGCCAGGGAUCCACCCCUAGUCCUCGUGGAUACUAGUCGGGUUUGUUAACCAUUGAGCCACAAUGGGAACUACUGAAGUAGGUUUUUAUAUGCACUUAAUUGUAAUGAGAGAUGAUUGGAGACCAACUUGAAGAUUUUCCUCUAAAAUGGCAAUUUUAUUUGUGAUGCUUCCUUGCUUUACAGUUAUUUAAUCCUGAAUUGGAAGCAGAAUUUAGAGACUAACAAGAUUGAACCCUAACACUUCUUCCACUGAGUUAAAAAAAAAAAACAGUUUUUUUUAAACUUAUUUUGGGACCAUAGGUCUUUCCUUAUAGGUCUUGAUGUUGCUUGAGAAAUGGAAACCCUAAAUUCGGGUAUGUCACCUAGGAAGAUUUUGUAGGGUUCUGCAAAGGCAGAAGUCCCACCACCUCUGGUGGUACUUGUCUUUUUGAUGGCUAGACUUUGAUCCCUAGAUUGUCUUUUCUGUAAGUCUUGGGUCACUGUUAGGACUAUCAAGAGGGCACCUACUUAGAAACUUUGAGAGAGUUCCUGUUGUAGCUUAGCAGUUUAAGGACCUGAUGUUGUUGGGCUUCCAUCAAUCCUGCCCAUUUGUGUGGGGCUUGGCCUUUCAUACUCACUAUUUUUUGUUAACCUAACAGUAGCCUGAGGGAGAUGGGAGGAGUUGAAAGAGGAGGCAUAUUGCUACUCUCUUCUAAGGUGAUCAGAUGGUGUUGUAGUUUCAAAAGAGGUAAGGCUUGGGCUAAACCUUUCAGUGUAGGUCAUUUGAUGGAGAAGAGAAUUCUAUCCAGGAGCAGUGGGGAGGAGGAAGGAGAAAGCCCUGUGACUUUGUAGGGGUGACUCAAGUGUUCUGGCAGACUUGUGAGGCAGAGUGCAGGAAGGUAAUGUUAGGCACCUUGAGUAUGUCCACAGACAAUGGAGAGGAUUAGAUGCAAGUUGUCAUUCUCCUGCUUGCACCAACAAAACUUCUCAGUAUGUUGCCAUAGAAAGAGAAUGGGACAGUGAAAUUAGAUCUAUCUUCUGUCUCUUUUUUUGUCACAAACAGAGCCAGCUAAUUUUCCUUACCUCUCAGAAUUUAAAUUUUAUAUCUCUAAAGUUAUGAUGCUAUCCACUUUACAGGGUUGUUGUGAAAUGAAAGAAUUAGUUUGAGGAGAAAAUGCUCCCUCGAAUUGUAUUCAAGGCCCUUCGUAGUCUGACAGUACUGUGUCCUUUUCGCCUUACCCCUGCCCCAACCAUCAACAUCAGCCACACUGCAUUGCUCACUGUUCCUUGAAUGCUGGUUUUCUGCCCUCCUGCUUAACCCCACACCUCUAGGCUCUGAGCAUCUCCUGGAAUGCCUUUUAUCUUUUCUCUAAUCCCAGUCUUCCUAAUCUCCCAGCCCUCCCCCACCCCCUCAAAUCUUAACUGUUUCUGAAACCUGCCCCUGAACUCUGCCCAGAGUAAUCUGCUCCUCCUCCAAACUCCAGUUAAGUGCUUGCUAUCUACAGAUUCCUUCUUUGUGUUGUGGUCUUAAUUACCUUUUAAGGCAGUCCUCCACUCCCACCUUAGAUUCUAAAUCUUAUACCUGCAUAGCUAUCCUGCACAACAGUGAGUAAUACUGAUACUUCGUAGUAAAUAUUUGUGGGUUCAUUCUUGUGGUGAUUUGUUGAGAAAUGAAUAGAGCCUAUAUCCUAAGACAAAACAUUUGUGCCUGUGGAGACUAUAAACUAAUACAAAGGAGACUGAAACUCCUCAGAGAGGACUCUUUAGAAAGGUCUAAACAGUAAGGGUUAUCUCUUAAAUUCUUGGGAAUCCUGCUGAAACAUGUGUAAGGCAAAGUUGAUUGGCUAUGUAGACUUCUCCUUACUUCUCCCAAAGCCUUGUGAGAAAUGGAAAGCUCAUCUGAAAAUACUAGUUUAUAGUAUGGUAUCUUUGAAAGAGACAAAUGUACAAGGAAUUAAUACAAACAUAAAUGUUCAGGGAGUUCCCAUUGUGGCUCAGAGGGUUUUGAACAGACUAGUAUCCAUGAAGAUGCGGGUUCAAUUCCUGGCCUUGUUCAGGGGGUUAAGAAUCCAGCAUUAUGGAGUUCCUGUCAUGGUGCAGCGGAAACGAAUAUGACUAGUAACCAUAAGGUUGCAGGUUCGAUCCCUGGCCUCGCUCAGUGUGUUAAGGAUCCGGCGUUGCUGUGGGCUAUGGUGUAGGUCUCAGAUGUGGCUUGGAUCUGGAGUUGCUGUGGCGCUGGCAUAGGUCAGCGGCAACAGCUCCAAUUAAACCCCCAGCCUGGGAACCUCCACAUGCCACUGGUGUGGCCCU
rnacentral:lncRNA from 1 species